UGUCAAAGCUCUGUGAUCGAUCAGCAUUGUUUUGCUCCUUACCUUUUCCACUUCAAACUGACUGACUAGUCAUGAGAAAUUGGCUGAUCCUUCAUGUUCUGGCUGCAUGCUGCUUUGGGUGCAGAGCAGAAGAGAGUGUAAUACAGCCAACAGAAGACGUAAUGGUCGUAGAAGGACACCCAACAACACUCACUUGUCUAUUUGAUACAACUGAUCAAUCACCAUAUCUCUUCUGGUACAAACAACUAGCAAAUGGCAAGCCCAUUUUUAUGCUGAGAAGGGAUACAUUUUCACCCGGGGAAUCUGCUACUGAAUUCAAGGACAGAUUUGAUGCCCAUCUGAAUGUCUCAGGAAAAUCAGUCCCCUUGACGAUCCAGAGGGUGCAGCUGUCUGACUCUGCUGUGUACUACUGUGCUCUGAGGCCCACUGUG